rnacentral:rRNA from 1 species
CGGGUAGCGGAACACGUACGCAACCUUCCUUUAACUGGAGAAUAGCCCCUCGAAAGAGGGAUUAAUACUCCGUAACAUAAUGAAGUGGCAUCACUUUAUUAUUAUAGCUCCGGCGGUUAAAGAUGGGCGUGCGCCUGAUUAGGUAGUUGGCGGGGUAAUGGCCCACCAAGCCUGCGAUCAGUAACUGGUGUGAGAGCACGACCAGUCACACGGGCACUGAGACACGGGCCCG